rnacentral:rRNA from 1 species
AGCGAACGCUGGCGGCAGGCCUAACACAUGCAAGUCGAGCGCCGUAGCAAUACGGAGCGGCAGACGGGAGAGUAACACGUGGGAACGUACCCUUUGGUUCGGAACAACCCAGGGAAACUUGGGCUAAUACCGGAUAAGCCCUCACGGGGAAAGAUUCAUCGCCGAAGGAUCGGCCCGCGUCUGAUUAGCUAGUUGGUGGGGUAAUGGCCCACCAAGGCGACGAUCAGUAGCUGGUCUGAGAGGAUGAUCAGCCUCACUGGGACUGAGACACGGCCCAGACUCCUACGGGAGGCAGCAGUGGGGAAUAUUGGACAAUGGGCGCAAGCCUGAUCCAGCCAUGCCGCGUGGGUGAUGAAGGCCCUAGGGUUGUAAAGCCCUUUCGGCGGGGAAGAUAAUGACGGUACCCGCAGAAGAAGCCCCGGCUAACUUCGUGCCAGCAGCCGCGGUAA